GACGUAGGAUGCAAGCGUUGUCCGGAUUUAUUGGGCGUAAAGAGUUCGUAGGUGGUAUAUCAAGUCUGGUGUUAAAGCCCGGGGCUCAACUCCGGUUCGGCACUGGAUACUGAUAAACUAGAGUACAGUAGAGGCAAGGGGAAUUCCCAGUGUAGCGGUGAAAUGCGUAGAUAUUGGGAGGAACACCAGUGGCGUAAGCGCCUUGCUGGGCUGUUACUGACGCUGAGGAACGAAAGCCAGGGUAGCAAAUGGG
rnacentral:rRNA from 1 species